rnacentral:rRNA from 1 species
AUUGAACGCUGGCGGCAGGCCUAACACAUGCAAGUCGAGCGGAGCGGCGGACGGGUGAGUAAUGCCUAGGAAUCUGCCUGGUAGUGGGGGAUAACGUCCGGAAACGGGCGCUAAUACCGCAUACUAUCGGAUGUGCCCAGAUGGGAUUAGCUUGUAGGUGGGGUAACGGAUUACCUAGGCGACGAUCCCUAGCUGGGCUGAGAGGAUGACCAGCCACACGUGAACUGAGACACGGUCCAGACUCCUACGGGAGGGAGCAGUGGGGAAUAUUGCACAAUGGGCGAAAGCCUGAUGCAGCCAUGCCGCGUGUAGGAAGAAGGCCUUCGGGUUGUAAAGUACGUUCAGCUGGGAGGCGUUACCCGCAGAAGAAGCACCGGCUAACUCCGUGCCAGCAGCCGCGGUAAUAC